rnacentral:tRNA from 1 species
GGAGCUGUGGCUGAGUGGGAGAGCCUCUGCUUGGCAUACAGGAGGCCCCCGGUUCAAUCCCCAGCAGCUCCA